rnacentral:rRNA from 1 species
CUUCCGCCGGCGACCGGCGCACGGGUGAGUAACGCGUAUGCAACCUGCCCCUGUCAGGGGGACAACCCGCCGAAAGGCGGGCUAAACCCGCGUACAUGCCACCGGGGCAUCCCGGAGGCAGGAAAGGCUUCGGCCGGACAGGGAUGGGCAUGCGGCGCAUUAGGCAGUAGGCGGGGUAACGGCCCACCUAACCGACGAUGCGUAGGGGUUCUGAGAGGAAGGUCCCCCACACUGGUACUGAGACACGGACCAGACUCCUACGGGAGGCAGCAG